rnacentral:lncRNA from 1 species
AGGAAACCUGUUAAUGAGGUAGGUUGCAGUAAGCAUCACCCCAGAAUCUAAUAGGUAGCUGUGAAUGGAAAAGUAGAGCCCUUGAGGUUUCUAGCAGAUAUCUAUGCUUUCUCUCAACUACACCACUUUGUUGUGGUGUGUGAGAGCAGGAAGUUUAGCUGUGAAUGGAAAAGUAGAGCCCUGGAGGUUUUUAGCAGAUAUCUAUGCUUUCUCUCAACUACACCAUUUUGUUGUGGUGUGUGAGAGCAGGAAGUUUGAUUCAGUAUGCCAUUUUCAGCAAAGAAAUUGCUGCCACAGCUACUAGAGCCAAGUUCAAAGGCAUUAUCACUCCUAAUGGUUUAUACCACAGACUGGAAUUGAGUUUUAAUCAUGGAAAUGAAGGCCUUGAUAAGGGGAAAAGCAUUGCUCUUGGACCUUAUAAGGUGGGUCCAAGUAGCUCUGGUAAAAUCAUCAACAAUUGUGAGAAA